CUUUGAGAACAAGAAAAGCUGUGAUAAUGAUGAAUAAUGAGACUCUUCAAGAAUAUUAAAUGUGAAUGACUUUUAAAAGAAUUUGGUAUUACUGACCAGCAAUGGUGAUGAUCACUGAACUGACUAAGCCCUGCUUUUUUGACUUUAGGGAUUUCUGCCUUCCCUACGGAUGACAUGAUGCUUUUAAAGGAGCUGCCUAUUGAGUCACUGGUGCCUCUUUCAUUUGCUAGAUCCUCAAUACAGUGUCUCCCAAGCUGCCCUUGUUGAUAGCUGCAGAAGAAUGACAGAGGACUUCAAAGGGAAUGCAGAUGUCCGGCUCACCAUUAGCUUUGAUGUACAUCUCUCCACUCCUUGCUGCCACUUUACAGCUGCAGCCUGGCAGUGAAGAUUAUGUCUCACAGUGCUGUAAAAUCCUUAUUUGAACUCCAUACAGUAAUACUUUCUGCUGCUUCAAGCCCUAUCUAGAAAGGUUUCAGAG
rnacentral:lncRNA from 1 species